rnacentral:ribozyme from 1 species
CAAUCACAAUCACAAUCACAAUCACAAUCACAAGUCAGCGAGCCUCAGAUCUCAAAGCAGAUGUACUUCUGCC